CCCGCCCGCCCACUGCAGCCGCACCGGCAGCCCAGCAGGGCCCUGUUCUUGCCGUUCAGAUACUGGCUUGUCCUUUCGGGGGCCGCGGUGACAGAGUUGAGACUGGACAUAGAGAAGCAAAUGUCUGGGUGUAGUAAAAUAAGGAUGAGUGCACCUAUUCCUCAGAGUUUUGUAAGGACUGAUGGAUUCAUAUGUCUGACAGUGCCUAGGACAUAACACACCUGUGCCAGGUACCUGCCCGUAGCUGUAUAAGAGACUGUUACUUGGGCUCUUCUCCAUAACUGGCCAGUAACAUCAGGAUUGAAGCCCACGCGGUCACCUUGCCUUGGGGGAUACCGACUUUGCCCACAGUGCCCCGUGUAGCCUGAGAUCACCCGCAGCUCUUCUGUGAGGUGAGCAACACCAGGCACUAUUCCUCAGGCUCCUGAGCCUCGCUCAAGUCACACCUUGCUCAAAUCAGCCAAACCCUUCCGCACUGGCCUCCUCCCUUUUUCUCGGUUUCCAAGGAGCCGUGCCCUGCGCAGGCAAAAGCCUUCACUCAGCGCUCUCACCAGGACUGGCGCGCUGCGUGUGGAGCUGUCCGCCAGCGCAGCAGAGCGGAAGCGGGGCGGGCAGCGCUGUCGGGAGAGCAGGGACUUUAGCGGUGCCAGAUCCCUCCUUUCCCAGUUCCGUCUCUGCCCUAGGUCACAAGUCCCACGACAGGGCAGCUCCAGCUACACUUCUCGGAUUUAGGGGAAGCCUGCAGGCUUUUACUUCCCUCUUUUGCUUCUGACCCAAACUGGAUGUUGUAUUUUACCAUUCCCAACCACUGAAGGGUUGGGUCUGAGUCCCUUCGCCUUGAAUCUGAGUUUGCUUGUGACUGCUUUGACAAGUGGCCUGGCAGAAGUGACCCUUUGUGACUCCAAAGCUAGGUCAUAAAAAGCCAGGGAGCUUCCACCUUGUUUCCUGGAGACUUUUGUUUUCUGAUCAACACUCCCUGCUGAACUCAGCCUUGCGACCGUGCCCACCCGUGAACCUGACGUGCAAGCGAAGCCAUCUCAGACCCAUCAGACCAGCCCAUCCGCCAGCCGAAUUCCUCCAGCACGUCCAGUGUCUCUUUAGAGGAGACGGCAGCACACCUGAGACUGGAGCCGAGAGUCUCCGAAUAUCGGGAAGCAAUGGUUUUUCCAGGCCUGUGGACACUUCUUCCAAGGUUUAAGAUCCACUGUGACAGUUUUCUUGAUCCUCCCUCACAUCACUUCCUAAGCAGGGAAAAAUGAAAAGGGACCAGUUCCCAGUGACUCCCCUUGGACUUCCAGGAUCAAACAAGGACAGAUGACAACUUAAUGGAAAAGAAAUGGAGAUAAAAAUAGGAGGGUUUCUGUCAGCCUGGGUCCUGUCAUGAAGCUGAUUUCCCAGAUCCUUCCAGAAGAAAUGCUGAUAAGGAAAUGUCUGGAAAAGCCUCAAGCAGAUAAAACUCCAUUACUCCUCAGGUGCUGGGCUCUGCUGGCCUUGGACUCUGAAACCAUCCCCCUUCCUCGGAGGGCGGACCCGCGACUUGCACUUGACUCUUCAGGUGGGGGAGGGCUGGCCAUGCAACACUGAUUCCGGGCCCUCUCCUGGAUUUUCAGACUCUGGUUCCUGCACCUUGACUGCUUUUGCCUCACGGUGCUCACAGCCUGUCAUCUUUUCUUUUAUGAGAACCGGUAUGAAGUCGUAAAGAGCUGAAUCUCAACUCCGCUGGCUGUUCACUAUAUGACCUUAGGCAAGUUACUGCAUCUCCUGGUGCCCAGUUUCCUCAUCUAGCGUUUCUUUUUGUAAAUUAAGAGAGCACCAUCUCUGUCCUAGGCACUGGGCACAAUGUUGGAGCAAAAUGUUACCUCCUUAUAGGUUUGUGGUGAGGAUUAAAUAAGGCGGUUCAGUGCAACACCUAACAAGUGGUAGAAUGAGUACUCAUAGCUGUCAGCGAAUACAGUUGUUCUCACUGUUGUUAUUUCCAUGUCUGUUGGAGAAGAGCAGGGUUUGAAAGGCCCUUGGUAGCCUCUGACCCUCGGGCCAUCACAGAGAACCCUCUGUUCUUUCCACUGGGUCGGGGCUGCUGUCUUCCUAGACUUCUCUUGGGAACCACAGCCCAUUCACUCACUCGGUAUUUUAAUCAUUCAAAACAAAAAUGCACUGAGUUUCCUUUGUGCUUCAAAGAGGAAUUAGAAAGGCAGCAGCCACUAGGCUGGGUGUGUGUGUGCACAGAAGCCAUCACGAGCUGCAGCUAAGUCAAAGAUAGGAAGAAGCGAGGCUCCGGAAGGGCUGGUCAGUAGCACUCCUUCAGCGGAAGAGGAGGCAGUUUCCAGGUGGAGGUCUGAAGAGAGGCUUCAUGGAGGGGGUGCCAUCUGGGCUCGGCUUUAAAGGAGGAGGAGAUUGGUGAGUCCUGUAAAGAUGGGAGCGUGCAUGAGCUGUGAGGCCUGUUCCCAAGGCAGAGGAAACCACUUCAUCCUGAGAAGAUGAAGCCUUUGGUCUCAGGGCUGUCAGUUAAUUGUGCAGACAUUUUAAAACUUCCAUUGGGUUGCCAAUAACACUGGUGGGUCAUUUCUUGAUCACUUUUGGGUCAAAACUUCCAUUGGAUUGCCAAUGAUACUUAUGGGUCAUUUUUCACAAACAUAAUGUUGUUUGAAUUUCACCAGACUGAGUGAGUCAGACAGAGCAAGAAUUAUGUUGCCCACUUUCUGGAUGAGGCAACUGUGACUCAGAGAGGCGAAGGGAUUUGACUAUUCCACGAAGGUGGUCAGUGGGAAUGUGGUCACUGAACUCAGGUUUCUUGACUCCAAAGCCAGAGCACUUUCUCGGGCAUUCAGCUGCUACCCUCCUCCUGCUCCCCCAUCCCACCUCUCUCAGGCUGGUUAAACUGGU